UUUGAAGUGCGUCAGGUCUGCCGUUGUAACUGCUGCAGUUUUGGAUGAGAGCUGAGCUAGACCUGUGAGAAUGACCCGUUAAGUCACAAACAUACAGGUCGGUUGGCAUGGAAACGUUCCACAUGGUUUGUACCUGCGCACAGCGGCUGCCUCUGAGUGCACAUGAAGGUGUUGCUAGGUGCUAGUUGACUUACCCGAGGCUAUGAUGUUCGGACUCAAGCAACAUACCAACAGGACCUUGAGGAGGCGCCAGACUGCCAAACACAUUUGACUUGAAUAUUCAGAGAAAUGCUAAUAGCUGCAGAUGUGGACAGUGAGAGUUAAAGGUGCCAGGCUGAAUUAAAACCCGAAGGGCGUUUCUGAACUCCGCUGUGAAAGAACAUGCAAAUAGGAUAGAAGUUAAGAGUCAGUCACGAUAAGACGAUCAGCCGAGGCAGAGCUAAUCGAAUAUUCCACACCAUUUCAUGCGCUCACAGGGAAUGAAGUGGAGAAGUCAAGGCGACUCCGAUGUGUGUUUUUGUGUGUUCAUAUACUGUAUAUGUCAGAAAGGGUUAACAGCUUAAAGCUGUAAAGUUCAGAUGUACCCGCAUUCUUGUGGAAGUUGUGUGGCCCGUGAGAUCAAGUAUUAUGCAAAGUAUUCCGUGCCUUUUCCAUUCUGGGAGUUAUUAGCAUUAUAAGUGUCUCAGAUCAUCAGUAUUAAACACACACUGCUGUUCAAAGUUUAGGGUCACUCGCUCUUUAAACUUUAUUCUACUUUUAGAACAGUACACUUUUGAAAAUGCUGGGUUACUUUCCCAAAGAGAUGAA